UUGACCUUGGCAUGCCAAAAAAGUAACCAAAAGCCUUCUAAGAGAGCUACAGGCACUGAGCAGAGGAGGCUGGGGCACAGUGAAAGGAGGCGAGAUAGAACUUGAGAUACUGCUGGGAAGAGUGUUACUGCUGUAGCCCUGGAGGAACACUUGGAAGUGAAGUGCUGGAUAUGAAGAGGAGACAGCAUACUGCAGAUUGGAAGCAAACCUUCCUAAAGAAAGUACCUAGGCAAGACAAAGGUUAUCAUGAGAAGAGAGCAUCUAAGGAGGAAUUACAUAGCUGUCCUUUGCUCUAGCCUACCUUAAGAGGCCAAACAUCACAGAAUAAUUUGUGCUGGAAAGGACCUCGUGCUGAAAAGUGUCUUUCAGGGCCCAGGUCACAGGGAAAGGUUCCUCCUAUCAACUCCUUCCCAUAAUUCAGAAAGGUCAUUGGGUGCCUAUUGCUUAGAAAGGCUCCUGACAAGGCAGGCAUGACAACCAGAUAAUGACUAUUUUGAAGAACAUAAGAAGUUUCCCUUCACUUCAAUCCUUUGGAAUCACAGAAGAGAUACACAUAAAGGGAUCUUACUGCAGUCUUUCACAUCUUCAACUGAAACCUGUGUUAACACCUUCAACCCAACAGCGUGCAAAUGCAGAACCGCUUUGGGGAUCCAAAGCAGUAACUGCCCAGACCUGGCCCCACUAGCUCAACUCUCCCCUCGACCAUGCUGCACUGCUCCCUGUAUUGUAGACAUAUGGCCUAGGACAGGCAGCGGAAGAGGCUGGAUCUGACCUGCUACCCUUUCCCCAGAGGCCAAAGGCAGCGGUAUCUGACAACAGAGCAGAUCUCAAACAUCUGCACACUUACGGUGCCUGUGAAGCCUGAGCGCAGGAGGAUGGAGCUAAGCGGUGGAAUUCAGUACGUAAAACACCAACUUGAGAAGACAAGCAAUUGAGUUGGCUGGGAGCUUCUGUAGCUGGCAUUGCUUCAACAGCUUCUACAACAGGGAAGUUCUUGUUUUUACCUUUCAAGACUGAUCUCAAAAAUAUUGGAGGGAACUUAAGGAGGAUCCAAAGCAAUGGUUGAAGACCUGGAGGAUAUACAAAGACUCAAAGGAGCUCAACCUAUGCAUUAGGUAUGUAACAAAGUUAGGAGAGAGUCUGCAAGUUGUGCUCAUUGAAGAAGAAAGAAUUUGAUGAUAAAGGGCUUUCUGACCAAUAAACACAAGUACAAGACCUAGAUGUGAUCUGAGGCCUCCCCUAAAAGUCCAACAGAAAAGAAAGUUGUUCCCAACAGUUCCACUUUGGUCCAACUGAGAUGACUGUGGAGGGAACUGUUGCUUCUGCUGAAUCCAGUUCAGGCACUGCCUCCAGCAAGAUGGGCUCUGGCCGAAGCCCUGCUCUGGCCCUGGUGGCGAUGACGCUAUUGCAUCAAAUGCACUGUGCAUUAGAGAAGAAGCCAGACAAGACACUACAUAGGUGACAAGCCACCUGCAAAUUCCUGGGGGAUUCUUAAGAGGUCUGGAUUGAUUUUAGUAUCAUGAACUGGGCCUGGUAAAUAGGUUGGUUUUUUUUUAACCUGUAUUAGGAUUGAGCAAACAGGAGCUAAAGAAGUAAGGUCUAAAAAGGGAAACAAAUUUCAUUUUUGCCCUUGGAGAAAGAACUCUUUUUUUUCUUUCCACUUUUGGGUACUCUGAUAGUUGAAUAGAGUCAGAGGCACAGAAAUCCCAUGGUACAGCUUGCUCCUACAGGUGUUGGACAAAUUUUGGAGCAAUAAGGAAAUUAUUUCUGUUCUCAUCAUAAUUUAGAAGCACAGUUUCAGGUAAAAAUGGUUAGAGAAUUUAAUCUCUCUAGCCAAGCUUAGAAUAAAAUGCUAAAGAAUCUUCUAUGACAUGCCACUUCAAACUGAUAACAGAUCCUGCCAUCAAAACUGGUACGGAUCAAAACUCAGACAGCAGACUCUGAAUGACUUCAGGAACUGCUGGACUUUUACAAGUCUGAAAUGACUGAAAUUUUUCCUGUAAAGUGAAAAACCCCAGCCACUUGUAGAAUAUUUUCUCUCCUUUUCUUGAAAUUAUUAGAUUUGGUAAUGCAUAAGAUACAUUUAACAGAGUAUACACUAUAAAGGAUUUCUGGAAAAAUGAAGGAACUUAUAGGAAAAUGCUAUCACAAAAUCCUUAAAGCAACUCAAUAACAGCAGCUCUAGUGAUGCAUCGUUUUACUUUGCUUAUCCUAAUGUAUGUCAAAGCAGAGUAAAGUUUUGUGUCCUUUGUAUUACCUUAAGAAAUAAUUAAUUUGGAUGUUAAAAAUUAAGAAAAUACCCUUGGUUCUGGGGAGGCGGGAAUAAGGGAUGAUUCCCAGACAACACAGAUACAUUAAUUAUAAUUUUUAAUAUAUAUAAAAUCAAGGGCCUAAAGUAAUGGCCAGAGAGAAUCACGAACUAUGUAUUUAGUCCUUAUUAGAUGAAAAUGAGAAAUAAUGAAAAAAUGCAGAAAUCUAGAAAUGUUCAAUAAGUGGUUUUGUUCUUUUUUAGAGGAUGGGGAAUGCAACACUGCAUUCACAUUAUCUGUUGAUGAAAUACUACCCACUAUAGCAGUUCUCAAGGCAUUUGUAUUCAACAUAUAGAAAUGGAAGCUUUUUACUGCUCAUUUAUCCUACCUGUCUUGGACUCCUCUGAGGACAGAUUAAAUCACAUUCUGAAAGUCCCUAAACACAGAGGAGAUGAAUUCCAUUCUCUGGGUCAAAGAACAUAAAUUUCUGUUGUAAAGUGGCAUUCCUCACGGCGGCACAGUAAAAAACCCCACAAUUGAAAAGGCUGGUCAGCCCCAGCAUGCAGUCAGAGGAACAAAGUGACCUGAAUGCAAAAAGCGACAAGUAAUCUCAGAGUGAAUCAGGUAGGGAAAGUUUUUUCUUAAAAUUGGGAAAAUAUUAGUGCUAUUUGUCAAGAAUAUUGCCAAGAUACUAUCUGGAAAAUUUGUUCACUCAUGUUUGAGAAUUCAAACUUGUGCAUGAGUAAAGCAGGCACCUGGAUGAAAUGGAGAAAAUUGCUCUGGUAGAGCAGGCAUGAAGGAGCUUGUCUUGUUUAUCAUAGCCAAAAAAAUGUCUGGGAUGUGGUAUGAUUGCUUUCUGGAAAUACAUCAGAGGGCUAAGCACCAUGAGAGGAGAAAGAUACGUGAACUAACAGCAUCUACAGGAAAUGGAAGAUCGGCAGGUAGAUGGAUAGAUGUAUAAAUAGAUAGUCACUUUCAACAUGACUCCUUCCUGUAGCACUUGUAUCAGAAGCUCAAAGAGUUGGAAGCUGAAACUAGGAAAAAAUUAAUUCAAAACCAAACAAAAAGUUUUAGUUGUGAUGCUAAUUGUAGCAAUUGAUCAGUUUGCAGUGGACUCUGCCUCAGUGGAAACUUUGAAAUGAAAAUGGCACAUCUUCUCUACCUGAUACAUUUUUGUUCAUUCCUAAUACUGCCCUUGAAUCAGAACUGAUUCAUGUACAUCCUAUGGCUCUUAUUUUGCUGUGUGUCAACUAGGUAAUUCUCAGAGUGCCUAAAAUCUUGUUGCUAUUACUCUACAUAUAAAGCUCCUUUUAAAUUGCAACAAUAGUGUAAAUCAGCUUCAUUGGAAAUAAAAAUGGGGACCUACCCUUUAGUACUUCUGUGAAACAGAAAUCCUUUUUUUUUUCCCUGUCUUUAAUCUGCCUUCUUGAAUGGUUUUAUUUCAUACAUGCUGAUAGCUCAGCAGAAGGCUGUUGUUAGCUCACAAUAAUAGAUAGCCUCUAGGUAAACUUCUGGAAGUAACUUUGGAAACUAUUUUUCAGGCAAUGCUCCAAGAAAAAGAGGCACAUGUUGAGGAACUGACAUAACUUUUUAACACCACAACCAGCAUAUUUCUUCAUGCAAACCCAGCCAAAACAAGUUGCCAAAAUCAAUAUUGAUCUAGUCCUUCAUCCAAUCAACAAAUGCCAUUGUUUAUAAGAUAUAACUUUUCUUGGUUAAAGUUCAAAGCAAAAUGCCAAGGAUUUGCAAAACUAUUAAAAUGAGAGGAUUUAGGUUUCCAGAUACUCUGGCUUGAUUUCAGUCUCAGUAGGUAUUCUGAGCCAUCAGAAACUAUCCAAAGAACCUCUGCAGUUUUUAUAUAGAACCUAAGGGUGAAACGAAAGCAAAGAAAACGUGAGAGCAUGCACAUGUGCAUAUGUGUGUGAUAUGUAUACACAAAAAAGGUACUUUAAAAAUAUUAUACUAAAAAAUGGUACUUUGGAUUUUUCUGCAUCACUGAAAUUUAGUUUGAGACUAAGGAAAAAUAAUUAUGCAGUAUGAUUAAAAGAAAUUUGGAAGUUCUCCUGUUUCUUGAUAAAAUGUCUGGUCUUCCAAUCCAACAAAAUAAAAAUUGUGUUUGGUUCAGAAUUCCGUGAAUGUGGGUUUUAUAAUUAUAAAUCCAUUGAAACACUGCAUAGGCAUGGGAUUUAUUUAACCUUUUCCUUAAGAUGUUUCUUUAACAGAACCUGUCAAAUAUUCCUGAAUUUUCCAUGGUAAUAAUAUGUCCAGAACUACACAAACCCCGAACAGGAAAUGCAAAUGUUUAUCUCUCUUAAGAAAAGAUUUUCACGACUCCAGUAAAGGGUUAUAUUCCAGAAUCUGGGCUUCAUUUUGUGAGACACCCUAUAAGAUCUUUAGAUAAUUUAUAGACAGAUAGGCCAUAGGGCAAAAGGCCAAGUUUUCAACGAAACUUCAGGAACCUCAGCAAAUGAGACCUUCAUAUUUCAAAGUUUUCAGUAACAAUCUGUUUUCUAAUAGCAGUGUCAAGGUGCUAUUUAAAUAUUACUGCAUACUGCUAUCUAGCUUUGGCCAGCCAUUAGGUAAUGGUGAAGCCUCUUGCUUAGAUAUUGAAUAGCAAAAUUUGUUUAUUUUCAUAAUCUUUAAAUUCCUGGAGACAUAGUGUAAGCUGAUUUUUAACAGGCUUAUAUGAUACUCUGAGGCUGCUGCUUUGCUUUUUCCUUUAGGAUUUUUGGUUUCCUAGUUUGAGGGUGAAGUGGUUGGAGCUGAUUAUAAUUUCCAGAGUUAACUCCUAAAAAACACCACAUGUGCCUAUUUGCCAAGAAUUCUGGUUAUUCAUUGCAUUGGGUGGAGCUAGUGCUGCUAUGUCCCCACUUCUACCAUUUCAGUAGCCUGAGACAGUCUCUAAAGCACUCUAGCAGCUCCUUUUUGUGUCUCCACAUACUUUAUCUUGUGGCACAACAGACAGCAGUGGCUUAAAUCCCCUUUCGUGCCAUUUUCUUACUGUCUUCUUAAAACUUAAAACUCCUGGUUUUGUAAAUAGGCAUGGCUCAGAUCAUGACAAAACUGAUGCAAAUUGCAUUAGUUUCACUUAGAUUUUUUUUUAAGUAGUCUCCCUAAAAAUGAUCAUGGUGGAUGUAAUCCAGUAUCUAGUAAUCAGGUUGUAAAAUGAAAAAUUGAGCUUAUUAGAGAGUGGGAAUUUGGUACAAAAAUACAAAAAGACUAUUGUCCUUUUUAGGUUUUCUGAGAGUCCUCCAGGUCUUCUUCUAUGCAGAAAAAAUACGAAUUCAUGCUAUUUAAUGAUGAACACUGAGAAGAUAGGUCUAGUUCUUCCAGACAUUGCACCUUAUUGUGGUCAUGGUUUUGGGUUUCAUCACAAUUCCAGCACAAACUCUGUGAUAGGAUAUACAUUUCAGGCACAUUAAUGUCACGAUUUACAAAAAAUCUCAAACAUUUUCUCAAAGAAACACCUUUGUCAACCUAACUAUUUUUGUGUAGCUCCAAAAUGAGCAUUCCGUUCAGACCUUGGUAAGCAGAAAAAUACUUACUUACCCCUAGUCUUUACCUGCAGGCCAAUCAUCUUUUCUUUAUUAGGAGUAACUUGUUUUGGGUUUAGAGGAAGCAAAGAUAAGAUCUCUUCCUCCUCCAUCCUGUCAGCAGAGCCAGGCCUCUGUCCAACACCAUAUGAGCUUUCCAUCAACCUCAGCCCAGAACUUUGCCUGAUCCUACAAAUAGGGAGUAGGGUGUAGUACCAUGAAGAGCCCCCAGCAGCAUUUUGGAUACACCACAACCACCAAGCUUUCAGAGGGGAAGUGGAGCACAAGCUCCCGCUCUGGACCAGUCAGAAGGGGCAUUUCACAGCAGGAGGGGCUCUUACAGCCAGAUGGGCCUUUUGCUGUAGCUGCUUAAGCUGCCUUGCAGACUGAGGGGUUUGCACUGUGGGGGCCUCAUCUGAAAGUUGCAUGCUUGAAGGAGAUGAGUUGCUGCUGUCAUUUUGCAGCCCUUAUGGAUGCAAGGUGCUAUAAGCCACUUGGAGCUGUGGGACCUGGGAAGCAGUGCUGGACUGGCUACAUACCAGAGCAUCACUACACUCACCGGGGGGGAGGAAUUUCAUGUUCAUCUGCUAAUAACCUAUUGUGAGUUUGUCUACCUGUUCUUGAUUAACUUUUUUUAAGUGAACCCUACAUAAAUGUUUCACUGUGAUGAUUGUCACUGUGACUUAUAAGACUGCAUUGGGUUUGUUUUUUCAGCAUUUUAGGUUCAACUAUAUCUACACAGCAAAACCAGAAAACCCCACCCUCCUCAGUCGUUGCUUUUUUGAAAAUCUUUCCAGAUCUUGCUUAAAAGACCCAAGUAAAGCAGUCCAUCGUGGGAACUGAAUACAAACUGAGAGCGCUUGUACUCCUGAAACUAAACUGCAAAGUAAGCUGAAGCACAAAGUGUCUACUUUUUAAAGAUGAUACAGUUGUAUCCUUACACUGAGACAAUAAAAUAUGUAUAUCAAAAACAUUACAAAACAUCACACUGAAAUACAGUGAUUCAAUUUAAGACCCAGAUUAGCAGAAAAAGAAAGCAGAUGUAAAACUGCAUUCUUGUGGAUCUUGCUUGAAGGGCAAAUCAAUACCCUUAUCUCUGAAAGUAGCCAAUGUAAGUUUCUCUGAAGGUUUAAUAUUCUGCUGCUUCUAAUUUCCUACCUCUCUAAUUUCUGUCUUCACCAAGCUAGUGAUCAGCCUGUGAAGAAGGACUGAUGCUUCUAAAGUCUCUCCCCAGAUGGUAAUGUAGCAGUGGAAGCAGAUGCAAAGACAUUACAGAAUGUAGCAUCCAUCCAUUUAUUGACUCAUCUUUAUUCCUUUGCUGCAACAUAUGAACAACUAUGCAAGCAACACUGCCCUAACAAAUAGAACAAAUAAUCAAUAGGCAGGAGGAAAGCUGAAGUUCACAUGCAACCGUAGUUAUUUUUUUCCUCUUUCCACAAAAAACAUUUUUUAAACAUGGACCAAGCUCACCAUUCACAUGCAGCAUGAACCCCACACUCUUCCCCUUCCCCCAUGUGCCUAUAAAGCAUGAAUGUGGUGGGAAAAUACUGUGACUGCUUCUUACUGAUUACAGUACAUUUUUGUGAUAAAAUGGUUUGGGGGACUAUCAGGAUGAACUCCAGCUGACUGCUUUCAGUCCAGCAAUAUUCCAUAUAGUCAGGAACUAACCCUUGAAGCAUUUCCUUCUUUCCUUGAGCUCUGCAGGGAGAAACGCUGCCUAGUUAUCUGUACAUCUUGAGUGCUUCUCUGUAUUUCUUUAAAGCAAGAAAAAGAGGCAUUCAAUAGGAAUUUGCCUUUAUUAUAUAGCUUCUACUUCUGUUUCUGCCAUUGCCACGUAUCAGCUCUGUUUUUGUUCCCCAGCCAAUUCUUUUCAUAUUUUCCAGACCAUUCAAGUGCCUGUGCCUAGUGUCACAACAAAGUUUAAUGAGUAAGUCAGUAUUACUUCUUAAGCAAGCAAUUAGUUUUGAUUCAUUCUUUUUUCAGAUCUGUAAGGGAAAUGGUGAACUAAAGAAACUAGUGGAAAGAAGUUCUUGCUGCCACUACCAUGUGCCGGCUCUGAGCCACAGUCUAUCUGACAUUUGCAGGAGUUGUGAGUGUGAAGUCAAGGCAGAUGAUGGUUUCUCUGUGAUUAACAGUGUUGGUCCACUUUCACUCUUCUCCUGGAAAGAAGUCAGACAGUUCUUUCAGAAGAGCUAAACUCAAAAAUCUUCCAAGUCAGCCUGCUUUGGGGAACCAGGGUAACCUCAACCAGAAUUAGCUCAUCCAACCUUUCACCCUACUCUCAAACCUGUAAAAAGUCCACAGAUAGGGGUAUGUUUGAGAGUCAGGCACCAAUGACUGCUGCUAUCUGAAGUAGCUCAGACCAGGAUUAGGUUUUUUGGAUGGAGAUUUGGACAUGAAAGUCCAUUUAUUUCAAGGUUAUUUUCUUUUCCACUUCUGUUGGUCUGGAAUAUGAAAUUUCUGCACACCAAUGUCUGUCCUACUAUUGCCAGCCUUUAGGAGAAAACAUCUUUGUCCCUCUCACAAGGAAAACACAGCAGAAGAUGAUAGCUUCCACCAAGUUCUGACGGCACAGCAUUUUUUUUUCCUUUUCAGCUGUGGUUUUCCUUUGAUAUCUCGGCCUACAAGUAUUACUUUGUUUUUCCUUGUGUCAUUGACAACUUGUUAUGCCUUGCAUUUUUGUAUUGGAGCAUGUGACCUAACAGCCAGAACCUCUGACAUGACCUUACGACAUAUGAUUUCCAAGUAGUCAUGGAGGGCAGAGGGAAGGAGUGUAUGCUAUAACCUGUUGGCUACUUCAGCAUCUGAUAGGUGCUAUUUGGUCUUCCCUUCUCUAGGGAAGGGAAAGUAAAACCUAGUAAAACUAGUCCUCAGUGUUAACUUUAGUCCUCAGUGUGUCUCAUUUAGAUGUCAAAAGCAGAUAGCUUUUGUCACAUUUCUACAUGCAUACAGAAAAUAAUCCUUCUGUUUUGGUUUUACACCUGGAAUCUGAUACUGGAUGUGAAGUGAUUUUAUCACUGCCCUACUUCCUCUGUAGCAUUCAUUGCCAUCUCUGUGCUUCUAAUGACUAAGAUGUCAGAAGAAAUGUUGAUUCCAAUAACACUGCAUCUUCUCACACAGAACUCGUACUAGAGCUCCUUAUCUCUGUGACUGCUUGCAUUUGAACUUCCUAUUUUUCUCUCUGAAUGAUGCUAAUAGAAAGUCUAAUAUUUAUGCUGAUAUCAAAGUUUUGUUUUUGCUUAUGUUGUAUCUCUUCAGGCAGAGAUAAUAUUAAGGCCAUUAUUGUAAAAUGAAUCAGCAUUUUCAAAAACUGCAAUCUUCAGUCCCCAAAUGCUUAACCUUAUGAGAACAGUUUUGUAUUAAUAGUAAAGGACUCCCAAGGCUUGGGCCUGGACUAGCUGGAAUUGUAGUACUUGAGAUGCUGAUGUAAGUUUGCAAUUUUAUUUCACUGUAACAAAGUUUCCAGUAUCACAUGUACAUUUGAAUGGGUGCAGAAUAGUUGAAAGAAGACAGAUUUAAACACACUUAAUUAGACACAAAUUAAACUCUCUUUGGUAUCUAUUCCCUCUAGUAUUUUGUUUCAGAGAAGCUGUGAGCUUUUCUGGCUUAGCUGGCUAAGGAACCAUUCUCUCUACUACAGGCAAUUCCUAGACUCAGGCAGCUGGAGUCCCAGUCCUCCAGUGCUCAUAUUUUUUAGUCCCAUCAUGGAGAUUGACCUGAAGAUGAGAAAUAUGCCCAGGUUCCAAACUUUAUCUUCUUUUGGCACCAAUUUCUAUUUGCACCACAAGUCCCUGACUUCACUAUCACUGAAAGACCUUUGUCACACAGAACCAUAAUCACAGCUCCAAGUAGCAUUACACAUUUUGAACUUGUACAAAGCACAGUAUCUUACCAUACCUUCCACCUUCUCUCUGGAAACAUCUCCUGAUGUUGCCUGCUUUGGUUGUAAGGACAGGAGCCAUUGCAGGUAUUCCUCUGGACUGACUGUAACAGAGUAAAAAGAACAGUGCAGCAACUUUCUAGGAAAGGCUUUUUAAAAAAAGAAGACAAAGCCUAUUGACUGGAAAUGAUCUAAAUGUGAUUAUAGCCACUGCCAGGUCUCUUGGCAGUGUAAGCUGCCAGCUUUCCUUUCCUGUUUUUUUUCCCUCUGAUAACAUAUGUAAACAAUCAGUAGUACACAUCAGUAGGUUUUUCUUAGUCUUACGCAGGACCUGCACACACACAAUACGGGAUGGUGAAAUCUCCAUCAGACAUAGGACUUGUUCUGUCAUAGGGCAAAUUUGCAUUUACAGGACAUAAAACAGCAUGAUGGUAAUGGAACUAUUUGCAAUUCGGGGAAACAGAUGCUGAGGACAGGGUCAGAUGACUGGGAGCUUCUGCCCAAGGCACAGCAUGACACGAAAAUUGCAUGGUCCUGGCUUCUCACACCCAUCCCAUGGUUCAUUCCCAUUUGCCCCUCGUAGGCUGACAGAGGCAAAGAGAUCAUUACUGCAAAAGCCAAGGUUUUGGAGGGUUUAAUACAGUCUUCAUAUUUUUCUCAUCCUGGUGCAUGGGGCCAACAUGAUAAAGUUGUCAGGGAGCCCUGAAGCUACUGAACACUGUUGAACUUCACGAUGCACAUCAGCAUUGCUCACAGGUAUUGUUUCACAUUGUACAUGCAGGCACCAGUAGGGACAUCAGUAUCUCUUCAGAGGGAGUUAUUUUUAAAUGAAAAGUGAGAUUGUGAUAUAGUCAAAUGAAUCUCGGGGGGGGUGGGGGAGGGGUUGGAUCUUAAACAAUUUUUAAAAAUUAUAUGUAUACUUCCAGGUAAGCCUUUCCCACUUUCUCAUCUUAUGUUCUUCCAUCAGUUCUACACACAUUUUUCAUUUGGUUGAAACCCUUUAAAUGUCUUUAUUCUCACCAAACUACCUAUUUGGAGCAUGGACAGAACUUGAUAUAAAAAGACAGAAGAGACUAGAAAUCACUGGUGAAAACCAAAAAUGAAAAAAAAAGUUUAAAAUAUGGGCAAAAGUACACCCCAAAUCUUUUCCUUCUGAAAUGAAAUCUCAGGGACAGGGGGAUGAUGAAACUUGAGCUGGGUAACUAAGCUUUCUGCUUUAUAGACUCUGACCUAGGAUGCUCUAGGGCAGUUCUAAAACUUAUCAGGUUUGAUCACUGAAAGACUUCACAGGCACUGGAGUGACCAAAGUAUAUGUUGUGUUGCCUUUUUUGUUUUCUUCAAGAAUGUAAACAACACAGAAUUAUGCUGUCAAAGUAUCCUUGGAGACACUGACCUUGUGAAUACUCUUGAUUUUAAAGGAAAUGCAAAUGAUGAUGUUAAAUGAACCCCUGGCUCAAACAGCUGAUCCUUUGUUAUCCUGAGCUUUUUUUAAGCAGAAGUGAACAAUACCAACAAGUAUAUAUUACACAAUAAGUGAACAUACCAACACAGUAGAAAGCUCAUUAAUAUUCCAGAUAAUUCUCACAGAACUAUUAAGCAGGAAAAUAUGUUUCAUUAUUAAAUGUAAUUUGCCAGAAUAUUUGAAACUGAUGUUGGACGGAGAGCAAGGUGAAUACAUGGUAAAAUUAUAUGCCAAAGUGAUAAGUCACGGACAAAAUGUGCUGUCCCUGUACAAAGAAAGUAGUUAUAAGUCAUCCAUUGCUUCAUCCUCACAGCACCUCUGUAUUGCAGACUGGAAAGCAGAGGUAUAAAGAAGAGGCUAGAGCAUCCAAAAGGACAUGUAAUGUGUGUUCUCACUACAGAGAGCUUUGAAAAUAUUCCACCCAUAGCUGUAGAGCACACCGACUUUGUAGUUGACUGUAAGCAGCAGGAGAUGGGGUAUCCACAAGACCAUGCUGCCCCAUAUUCAAGUCCACUUUUCUUGGUCACUGUAUCUUGUCACAAACCAGAAAGCCAAGCUAUCCACAAAUGCACCUUCACUCCUAUUUUAAAACCUGUCAGGCAGCCAGAUUUCUGCUGCUUGUACUGGAUGGCCUGCUCUGCUCCAGAAGGUAAGAACAAGAAAAAGUCACUAAAAACUGGGCUGUUUUUAUUUCAUUUCUUGAGACUGACUCAUACUCUCCAAUUCCUUGUCCUUAGGGAAGAUACAAGGAAAUGAUGUAAUUCUUUUUUUGGCUUAUUUUCAUGCUUUGGACUUUUUUCUUUUCGCAUAAUUUUGUACUGGGCCUGUUUUUUAAUUAAUCUGUAUGGAUUGUGCUAAAGUAAAAGCCUGAGCUGUCUGUCUCUUUAUACUCACUUGUAAUAGUGAUGUAAUGGUUAAUGGUUGAGGGUAAGAAGUAUUGAUCUCCAUGAUAUGCCAGGUGACCCAUUAAUAAUUACUAGGGAGUUCUGCAAGCUUUCUUUAGAGAUCAAAUUUUAAAAGUAUGACCAAAUUGAAAUUUUAAAAGUCUGCUAAAAUUUAAAAAAACCAUCUAUUUGAGAGAUGCAGUUGUGGUAAUUCCUGCAGCUCUUGCCGUAAACCUGGGGUGGAAGGGAAGAUACUUUACUUUUUUUGUGUUUCAUUUAAAGAAGAAAAUCAGAAACACCUUGAAGAUGAAGCUCCCAGUGUUUUGGUGUUUUGAACUGAGACCUUAUCUCUAAACGCUCCUGUGGACAGCCUCCAGUUCAGAUUAAAAACUAGAUCUGAAGCUAUCUGUAGACCAUCAGGAAACUUUUGAUUUUGCUAAACUGAGGUGGAAAACUUACAAAAGUAUCUCCUUAUGAGGAGACAAAUACACUCAUGUUGUUCUAGGACCAGGACUAGAAAGGGAGAUAAGGUGCCCGGCGGCAGAGGAUGUCCAACAGAUGAAUAUAGGUUUGAGUUCUCUCAGACUCAGGAAGGAGCUGAGCAUGACUGUGUCUGAAAGUUUCCUAAACUAGAAUGAUAUUUCAAGGCAUGAGUGAAAAAGAAGAUUCUAGAAGCUGGUUUUAAUUAGGGUGUGUGUAUUGGGUUGACCCUGAGUUGAUGGACAGUCUUUAAGGCCAAUUACGCUUCUCACAAUUUACAUAUUUAAACCGCA